ACACAUCAAAACAGGAAUCUAGAGUGAAAUCUGCUUAUUCACCAGCAGUGGCUCACAGAACAGAAACACACUUCACCCUGACAUCUUUUUCAGUCAUUUCAUGUUGGAAAUGGAAAAAAAUAAGCUGUUUUUCAUCAUCGGCCUAAUACUGACUGCACAAAGUACUGUGUGUGAGUACCGCAAACUGUGUAUUAACAGACUUUUAAAAUGGAAGAAGUAAACUGACAUAGUCCUCGUCGUCCUCCUCAGCGACCUCUAUGGAGCUGUCCACGUCUUCAGCGGUCUCUCCGGCAGGCGGGAUCUCUUCCUCCCGAGCAGCUCUCCGUUCGUCCUGGAGCUUUCUCUCUUCAGCUCCCUGUUAAGAGUGUGUGAGAACCGGAAAACCCCUUUCACAACAUCCUGUGGCCUCUUUCUUAAGACAGUAUAUACACGUUCUGAUUUUUUGCCAACAGUUGCACCAGCUCUACCACAAAUGUGAUAAAUAUCUCUGUUUAAUAACGUAUUUUUGUGUCAGAAAAAAAUAUUUUAACAUUUUAAUUGUAAUAUUUUUCAUUAAACUUUUUCUUUGUAAUGUAACUCAGUGACAGUGAUUUAUUAACACACUUUUGCUAGAGAACGAAACAGCAGUUCUGUGAAACAUUACUGACUUGUGAAUCAUAUUCUAAAUGAUUCUCUGAAAUUAAAUAACUCUUAGCCUGAGUAGCUCUAUAUCAAUCUAUGCAA